UUGAACGCUGGCGGCAGGCCUAACACAUGCCAGUCGAACGGUAACAGGAAGCAGCUUGCUGCUUUGCUGACGAGUGGCGGACGGGUGAGUAAUGUCUGGGAAACUGCCCGAUGAGGGGGAUAACUACUGGAAACGGUAGCUAAUACCGCAUAACGUCGCAAGACCAAAGAGGGGGACCUUAGGGCCUCUUGCCAUCGGAUGUGCCCAGAUGGGAUUAGCUAGUAGGUGGGGUAACGGCUCACCUAGGCGACGAUCCCUAGCUGGUCUGAGAGGAUGACCAGCCACACUGGAACUGAGACACGGUCCAGACUCCUACGGGAGGCAGCAGUGGGGAAUAUUGCACAAUGGGCGCAAGCCUGAUGCAGCCAUGCCGCGUGUAUGAAGAAGGCCUUCGGGUUGUAAAGUACUUUCAGCGGGGAGGAAGGGAGUAAAGUUAAUACCUUUGCUCAUUGACGUUACCCGCAGAAGAAGCACCGGCUAACUCCGU
rnacentral:rRNA from 1 species